UAAAAAAUAAUAUUGUGCUCUUCCACCGGAGGGCUACACGCCGCCGCUCCUGUUGCAGCCAUGUCUCUAGUGAUCCCCGAAAAGUUCCAGCACAUUUUGCGAGUACUCAACACUAACAUCGAUGGGCGGUGGAAAAUAGCCUUUGCCAUCACUGCCAUUAAGGGUGUGGGGCGAAGAUACGCUCAUGUGGUGUUGAGGAAAGCAGACAUAGACCUCACCAAGAGGGCAGGAGAACUCACUGAGGAUGAGGUGGAGCGUGUGAUCACCAUUAUGCAGAAUCCACGCCAGUACAAGAUUCCAGACUGGUUCUUGAACAGACAGAAAGACGUGAAGGAUGGAAAAUACAGUCAGGUCCUGGCCAAUGGUUUGGACAACAAGCUCCGUGAAGACCUGGAGCGGCUGAAGAAGAUUAGGGCCCACAGAGGGCUGCGCCACUUCUGGGGCCUUCGUGUUCGAGGCCAGCACACAAAGACUACUGGCCGCCGUGGCCGUACUGUGGGUGUGUCCAAGAAGAAAUAAGUCUGUAGGCCUUGUCUAUUAAUAAAUAGUUUAUA